UACGAAGGGGGCUAGCGUUGCUCGGAAUCACUGGGCGUAAAGGGUGCGUAGGCGGGUUCUUAAGUUAGAGGUGAAAGCCUGGAGCUCAACUCCAGAACUGCCUUUAAUACUGGGAAUCUUGAGUUCGGAAGAGGUGAGUGGAACUGCGAGUGUAGAGGUGAAAUUCGUAGAUAUUCGCAAGAACACCAGUGGCGAAGGCGGCUCACUGGCCCGAUACUGACGCUGAGGCACGAAAGCGUGGGGAGCAAACAGG
rnacentral:rRNA from 1 species